UUAGUUGAGUUGAGUUGAGUAGGAAUAUUUGGUAAAGUUGUUGAUGAUGAUAUGGCCAGAAUUUUUUUUUUUUUUCUGAACCACACUAGUGCUACUGCUGUUCUUUUACCUAAAUUAAUCAAUUCCAUCAAUAUUAUCAAAAUAUUUUCAUCAAUGGGUAAAAAUCCAAAUGUUGGCUCUUCUAAUGACAGGACCAGGGGAAAAU
rnacentral:misc_RNA from 1 species